rnacentral:lncRNA from 1 species
GGAAUACUCUCAAAACAUGUCUCCAGAAAAAGAUCUGCAUUGCUUGAAUAGAUGGAAGAUAAAAGCAUGUAAAUCUACAUUAAAGUUUUCAAGCGAUUGAACGAGCAAAAACAACUAAAUCACUUUCAUGCUACAGCAAUUGAACGUCAGUCCCAAUUUUCCUGCAGGACCAUGGAAUCAUUUGAAUUUGACAAGGACCACCAUGCAUUGGCCACGAAAAACAAAAAAAGCCAAGCAUCAAGGAGGAAAUUUCCACUUCCAACUGGAUGUGCACGAGUAAGUCAACGAGAUGCCAUGCUUUCAGUAUCUGUAAUCACAAGUGAUGAUCCAACUAUAGCAAUCAAUGAAUCUAUUGCCUGGACCACUGACUGCCUCAGCAGGUGGUCCUCAAAGCAAGAAAUGUCAAACAGAAUAACCAAAUGGCUGUGCUCAGAGUAAAAGUCAUCAAGUUAGAUAGCUUACAUUAAGUUUCCAUGUGGACUUCCCAUUGGAUGUCCAGAAUCUGAAUUGGCAACCAAGUCGAAUGAUUGUUCGGCCGUCAUGGAACCCAUCAUCACUUGCUCCAGUUCUGUGGCAGGACCUGAAUAGAAAUACAACAGAAAAGCAAGAUCCAGAGAAGAUCAUCAUUAAGGACAUCAAGGGAACAAAUCAUCAUCUCAAUUCUGAAUGCCAACAAGAUUCUUUUUAGCAGCUAAAAGCACUUGGAUCCACCUCAACUUGGCAUCCACUUCCUAAGUCUCUGAUAAAGCAACACUCUGAAACAAGAGCAAUCCAGCUUUUGUAUAAGCCAGAAAGAACAUCUGAGGUCUCUUGACUUCCCAGAUUACCCAGACAUAAACAGGUGUAGUAUUUUCAGAAACAAAAAAGAUGUAGGUUUCCCAAGACUAACAGCAGAACAUGAUGAUCACUGCUACAGCAAUCUUAGAUUUAGAGAAACAAAUAAACAAUGAAACGGUAACUCAUAAUUUGGUUCAAGUGAGCAAAUUGAUGGCCCUGACUACUACACUUCAGCUAAUGAAGCCCAACAAGACAUACGGAAAGUUGUAUUAGGUACUCAAACUGGUAUCUUUUAGCUGGCUUAACAAUGAAACCACCUUCACAUGAAAAUCAAAGUAACAACCACCAAGGUGUGCAUCUAAGUGCAUUAUAUUUCCUGAGCCCAAAAGGGGCAAUGUGACUCAUCUAGCAACAAAUACUAACAAACGAGAUAAAAACAAAUAUUAACAAAUGAGAUAACUCUGGCAAAGCUGAGAAGAGGGCCCUCAGACAAAUUGGCAGUUGGUGUCUCAUGUCAAUAAGAGUUGAUAUCUUCAAAAUAAGAAUCUUGAAACAAUCAUGCAUAUACCCCAAAAAGAAGCUACAGAUUCCUCUCCAGAUAAAGUACCCAUAUUUUCUUAUUAUGCACUGAUCUCCCUUUUACUUUAAGUACACUUCUAUACUCUUCAUUUCAGACAGCCCUGCACAAGUUUCUUGGCACAGCCAUGUUCGGAAGGAACAAAACAAAAAAUAUGCAAUCUUGAAUCAGAAACUUUCUAAUUGACACCCAUGAAGCCCAAGUAGUAAUAGAGGAACGUUACCAUCACUUACAAAUUACUGUAAAACUGCAUUAUCCAACAAUGUAUUAUUUGCAGAUAUCCUUAAUGGCAAACUCUUUUACAUAAUAUAGACAUCAUCCUUUGUAUUCCCUUACAACCCAAGGUGUUCCUUUCUCUGCUAGCGAUGCACGAAUGCUAUUACUUAUAUAACUAAAAGCUGUAAGAAGAACCUAGUUGGUGAAAUCUUCUCAAGUAUACCAUAAGCCUUCACUAACAACAAGAAGACCGGCCACAAAGAUGAAUGUUCCAACAAUAGGUCAUAAGUUCAUUUCUAAGAGUGAAGCUUCCACUUAAAUUAAUCGACUUAUCUAUCUGUCGGUCUUCGCAAGACUAAUCAGAACAAAUGAAAUUAGUCACAACAAAAAGUGGGCCUUGCUUGCCAGCCUUUAAUUAUAACAGCAUCAAUCUGGUCCAUCUUCAUAAGAAUGAAAUGUUUCAUUUUAAUUGGCAACUGAUAAAUAUAUAAGAAAAUGUUAUGAGAUCUGUAUUGACCGAAUUAGUAUAAGAUCAAGACAUUUAAGUGCUCCAAUUAUGUUAUAACCUGUGAUCAAUCCAUAGAGGCCAAUAGAAAAUUAAUAGACAUUAGAAAGAAGCGUAUGCUCAAACAUCAUCGACUAACUUUUCUUACACAAACAUUAAGUUGAGAAACAAAUUCACCUCAAAUAUUCAGCAGUAGUAGGCUUCUAUCAUGUGUUAGCAAUCACAAGACUAUCUUUAAUAAUUAAAUUAAUUCAAUUAAAUAGACUCAUCUUUAGCAGUCAUGUUAUCACUAUCAAUCCACUGCCUACCAAAAAUGAUGUUGAAUAUUCUCAUCCAAACCAAUCAUUUGAUUCUAGAAUGCUUAAUGAGUUAUCUAAGGCCCUAGAGAACAACAUAAAGUUUUGGUGACUUGCCCUGAUAUGCAAUGCACCAUGUAACUAGAACUUCUUCUAUUUUGCUGAUAAAGCAGUUAGCAUGUCAGAAUCUUUAAGCCUUAGUGGCAGUUUGUUCACAAACCCAAAUUAUAUGAUCCUCCAUUAUGGUUCAUGAUGAUUGCACUGCACAACAUAUUACUAGGAUUUAAUCCAUUUUGUUGGUCCAAGAUCCAAAUAACAAAUUUUAGUUCUUCCUAGACAAAUUGUACUCACUGAACUGGACUCCUUCAGUUGCACCAAGACAUUAUGUAACAUCCAAUUUUUAAGAUCUUAGACAUUCCAACAAGUCAGUAAUGCAUAAAUUUAUAUUUAUGCAAGAGCCAAUAACAAAGAUAGAAACAACAUACAGAGGUGAAUAGAAUAAAUGCUCUGCAAACUUCUGUUGCACAUUUAUCAUUGAAAAGUUUGGACAUGGACAUAUAUGCAUACCUGCAUAUCAUGACCUUUACAAAAUUUCAGUUUGAGGAUGAAGGUGUCAAUAUCUCCAGAGAUGGAUGUGCAAUUUCAACAAUUCAUAUGAAUAAAUUUGUACAUAACAAUGCAAGGGAGACAGAGUACUCCAGAAAAUAAGUCAUAUAUUGUUAAAUAUAUAGCUCAAUUACCUGGCAACGUGCUAAUGGAGCUUUAACAAAAAUAGCUUU